AGAGUUGUAUUGCAAGUUUUGAAAGAGAAGAAGUUGUAAGUGAAGUUGUCCAAGUGUGAAUUCUGGUUGCAAGAGGUUAGUUUCCUUGGUCAUGUCAUUUCUGGUGGUGGCAUUAUCGUGGAUCCUUCUAAAGUUGGUGUUGUGUUGCAAUGGGAAGCUCCGAAGUCGGUUACUAAAAUUAGAAGCUUCUUGGGAUUAGCCGGUUACUAUAGACGGUUUAUCGAAGGUUUUUCUAAGUUGGCACUUCCGUUGACUAAGUUGACUUGUAAGGGUAAAGCUUUUGUGUGGGAUAUUCAAUGUGAAGAAAGUUUUACCGAGUUGAAGAAGAGGUUGACGUCGACUCCGGUUUUGACUUUGCCUAACCCGGAAGAACUUUUUGUUGUGUAUUGUGAUGCUUGUCUGAUGGGGUUAGGUGGCGUACUCAUGCUGAAUAUUAAGGUGGUUGCUUAUGCAUCGAGGCAGUUGAGAACUCAUGAAAAGAAUUAUCCUACGCAUGAUUUAGAGUUGGCUGCAGUUGUUUUUAUGCUGAAAAUUUGGAGGCAUUAUCUUUAUGGUUCUAGAUUCGAAGUGUUUAGUGACCAUAA